GUUCCCCCAGAGUGAUGGUGGCUGAAGGCACAGUGACAGCAGCCACCGGGAGCAGUUGACCCCGGCAAAGGGGACUGUCUCUGACUCAGCAGCGAGGCCCCUCUCUGACCCUUCUGUCCCAGAACUCUGGCUCUGCACGUAUUUUGCUUCAUUAACUCCCUCCUAGAUGUCUUCAAGCAGCUCUGUUGGCUGGUUUCUCAAGAGAUCAAGAGUCACGUGCUCUACCGACUGAGCCAGCCAGGCACUCGUACGUGUCACUUCUUAAUCUCUACCUUUAGCAGGGCUAGGCUCCCUUCACUUCAGAAAUACCAAGACGCUCUCUGGUGCCUGCCUUUCAAGAGCCCUCCCACCACCAGCAAGUCCCAGUUCUCCUCACGGCCUCCCUUGGGAAUUACCCACUUUCAAAAACGAAAGCGCUCACCACCCAUCCAAACCUUCACACAACUGAGAAGCUGGUAUUGCUUCCUGGAACUUCUAAACGGAUUCGAUGUCCACUUCUACCCUGUGGCCCUGCCCUGGCCGUCCCCGCUUGGAGUAGGAGGCAGAGGGCAGAUGGUGCCGGCACACUCCACCUGCUCGCAGCCAUGCCCGGGCAGGAGAGACACCGGCACACCACCCACAGGCCUGGUUUUCCAGGCAGGGUUAAGUGUGCAGAGAAGGCAUCGCAACCCCUGGGAUCUGCUCUUCAUAACUGGGAAGGCCUGCCGCCCUCACCUUGGGCCCUCCAGUAAUCAUUUCCUCUUGGGCAAUGGAUUCUGCUCAUGGGAGUUGGAGCUUCAGGUAGGCUGGAAGUAAGCAGCCCGGCUGGGCCCCGAAUACGGUUUAACAUCGAAUAUAGUGUUUGCAUUCUGGGGAAAGCAUCUGGGUGUAAAAGCCCCCGCUGUGGGGGCCGGGGGACUGUUAUGCCACUUCCCCCCCACUCCCCCACUGCCCUCCCAGGCAGGCCCUCAGCCUCCCCCGUUGCUAAGACCAGACCGUGCAAGACCCACUCAGUCACUGGGCAUCUGGGAUACUGCUCUUCCACGCCUUCAUGGCCUGUCUUAUAAUGCUGCCCUCUCUUAACAUGGUCUAUGGGGCAGGUCCAAUUGCUUGUUGGAGACCACAAAAAAAACAAAAAAACAAAAAAAUUAAGACCACUGGUCUUGGCACAUGCUCCCCGGGGCACCUAACCAAGAAAAGGGACUGCUGAGGCCCCUCUUUUUCUUCCUUUAGAAUAGACCACCGACUCUGGCCUUUCUCCACCUGCUGGCGAUGGCUCCUGAACCUUUUCUCCUCAUAAAUGUGUACUGUGGUCCUCGCCACGUCGUCUUUGGACCAGCAGUACCAAUGCUACCCAGGAGCUUGUUACAACUGCUACUGAAUCAGAAACUGGGGGGUGGAACCCAGCUAUCCAUACAUUACAAGGCUUCCGGGGGAUUCUAAGUUUCAGAACCACUGGUCUUGUAUCUUCCCUGAGAGCCCCAGGUAGGAAGCCUUAGUUUUCUGAUCCACACGUGGACAGCCUGUUGAGGUGCGUGUGGCUUGCAGCUAUGGGAGUUUCAUCCCAAGGAAGAUGGGCUACCUGUCUCCCACACUUCCAGUUUGCAACAGGCGUCUGGCCCCUGGCAGAGGAGAGGCCCAGGGAGGCUGGCUAGCUUUGGAAUCCACUGAAUGGUUCUUCAUAAGGCCUUUUCUUCCAGAAGGUGCAGCAGGAAUUCAGAUGGCUCUAGGCAUUGCCAUAGCAACUGUACCUUUCUGAAGCCGUCACGGACUGCAGGAGCAGGGAGUAAGCAACGCAAAAGAAGGGGAGUCUGCUGGUGGAUAAAGUGCAAGCAGCAGACGAGGGGGCUGUGAAAAUAAAUGGAACCUCAGCACGGCUGGGACUUUGGGAUCUGCACUUGGCGGGCCUGCAGCUUCCUUAAGACCCAGGACACAUUUAGGACCUCUCGAGGGGUCUUCACGGCUAGGAAACAGCAGCCCAGGGGGCCUAUGAUGCUGACAGUAUACAUCACUUCUCUUAAAAGAUCAUCUACUCAGGUUAAAUUAGACUCCUAAAUGGUCACAGAGCAAUUAAGAAGGAAGUGUCCCCUACCUAGGGUGACACCUGUGUUCCAGGUCAGAGUUGAGGAAAGGGACCAGCUUCAAGCUCCUGAUACGGAUCUGCAUUCUACAGCACAUGCCAAGAAGUCAGGAGGCACCUCAGGGGCCUUAGAUAAUGGUGGAUAUUCUAGCUGCAAAAGAACUCACUUGUCAACCAGAGUUUAUAUAAAACCCAACACCCCAUGCACUGUCAUGCUGGCGUCUGAGCUCAUCGCCGUGGCUCUCUCUAGUCCUUUUUAUCGUCCUCCAAGUACACGUGAGAGGCUGGGAGCCCAGAGCCUCUCCUGCGGUUGAGGACGUUAAGGCUGCUCCUUGGUGCAAGAACCUGCCGAGCAGUGGCUGGGGGCCUUGUAGGCUCGGGCAACCUCCCAGGUGUGGAGGGACACACAGGGGGCCCAGAGGACACUGCCAUACACCAUGCGCACCUUAGCCCUUGGCUGUUUUGGAGCCACUGGUGCUUUUAAUCUGUUCUCUGGCUCCUUCUGCUCUGGAAGAAGCAAGCAGUUCAUGUGAGGAAU